rnacentral:rRNA from 1 species
GACGAACGCUGGCGGCGUGCUUAACACAUGCAAGUCGAACGGAAAGGCCCCGUUGGAGGUACUCGAAUGGCAAACUGUUGGGUAAAACGGCAGUAACCUGCCCUAUACAUCAGGAUAACGUCAUCUAAAUGGGGCUAAUACCGGAUAAGAAUCCUUGCUACCUGGUGGGGGUUGGAAAGCUCCGGCGGUUUUGGUUGGAAUCGCGGCGUAUCAGCUUGUUGGUGGGGUAGUGGCGUACAAUGCUUUGACGGGAAACCGGCCUGGGGGGGAGAGCGGCCACAGUGGGACUGAGACAGGGCCCAGACUCAGACGGGAGGGAGCAGUGGGGAAUAUUGAAAAAUGGGCGGGGGCCUGAUGCAGAAACGCCGAGGGCGGGAUGACGGAGUACGGGUUGUAAACCGAUUUCAGCAGGGGAGAAGCUUGUGGUGACGGUACCUGAAGAAGAAGCACCGGCUAACUACGUG